UACGAAGGGGUGCAAGCGUUACUCGGAAUUACUGGGCGUAAAGCGUGCGUAGGUGGUUCGUUAAGUCUGUCGUGAAAGCCCCGGGCUCAACCUGGGAAUGGCGAUGGAUACUGGCGAGCUAGAGUGCGGUAGAGGAGAGUGGAAUUCCCGGUGUAGCAGUGAAAUGCGUAGAGAUCGGGAGGAACAUCAGUUGCGAAGGCGGCUCUCUGGACCAGCACUGACACUGAGGCACGAAAGCGUGGGGAGCAAACAGG
rnacentral:rRNA from 1 species